CCUUUUUAUCAUUCUUCCUAUAGAGCUGAAAUGAUGCCAAGUUUUCCCUUCUUCUUAAUUAAAACAUACUUAAGGUAUUACUCACACUUGAUGCCAAAUUGAAAGGAGACAGACCACUUGCUGAAGCUCAGCCCAUUUGGCCAAGUUUCCUGGGUGGAACGAUGGGACAGUGGAUGUGAUGGUGUCGCACAGCUCCUUCUGCGAUGUAGGUUCAGACCCGUGUUUAAAUCCAGCUCAGUCUGCAUGGAGUUUAAGUUCUCCCUGUUUUUGCAUGUGGUUCCUCUCAGCCCAUAGACACAUUUUCAGGUGAACCAGGGACUCUAACUUGCCUUGUGUGAAUGAGCGAAUGAAUGAGUGUAUGUGUGAUUGCUCUGUGCCGGACUGACAGGGUGCGAAGUUCUUUUGGAACAGGCUCCAGACCACCACGAUCCAGCAAGUGGUGAUCUAGAAAAGUGGUUAUUGGUUUCUUCUCCAGGAGUGCCAUCUCGGUCUGCACAUUGGCUUUUAUAGCAUUUCUGUAACAUAAUAUGGAGAUGAAAAAGAAAGAUAAAUGGUUUGAAAUACAUCACAUCUCAGGCACCACCAGCGCUACCGACAAAUACUGUGUGUGUGGGACCGACUUUUGGAUCCGGUAUUACUUUACUGGUGGCGUAAUUCUCAAAAUGGCCGAGGUAAAUUCAUAAAUACAAGUUAAGCAGACGUGGAUGUAACUUUACUUAAUAUCGCGGGCCAGCUGUGUCAGAACAUCUACGGUCAUUGCUCCCCGAUAGAUCACGAGCUCCGGCUCAAAGAGCGCUAUACAGGUCGCAUGUUUAACUCAUUACCAUGAGAACGACCGCUUCCGGCCGCAUACCGGAAGUACGUCCCAGUGUUUCAAAAUGAGCGCGAAGUAGCAGCUAGAAACGUCAUAAUAACCAAACUGCUGCUCCGAAGAUCUUAGCUGAGCUACUCAUUUGUACCAGGAUGGAUAAGAUGCCAGAAGAAGCGGCAGUCAGAUACAAGACAAUUGCUGAAUUACUGGAGAAACUAACCAAUGAAGCAAGAAAACUUGAAGAAAACCAGAAGAAGCUGGUAAAGCACAAUCACGCCCUUAGUAAUCUUAACAAGUCCUUCAAUCAGGCCCAGUCACAUCUGGAGAAGGUGGCAGCGGUGAAAUGGUCCAACCAUCUCCUUAACUUAUAGACCCUGAUCCCUUAGACUAGGAGAUUUUUUUUUUUUUUUUUUUAAUAAAUCUUUUUGUCAAGCCA
rnacentral:lncRNA from 1 species